CCGGGUUGCCAGACCGCCGCUGGUGCAAUUCCCGAAAGGGAGCACUGGAGGAACGUCCGGACUGCACAGGACAGCGCAGGAGUUAACGACUCUCCACCGUGAGGUGAGGAUCAGAGCAACAGAGACGAGCCGAUUCAGUUCGGGUGAAACGGGCAAUCUCUGCGCGCAGCAACACCAAAUAGGCCAGCGUUGAUGUGGUUCCGCGGAGCUGGCGGGUAGGUGGCAUCGAGCCGUCCGGGCGACCGGCGGCCCAGAGUAAUGGCGGUCACGCCGGCAUCGUCGCAAGACGGCGCCGGUGCACAGAAUCCGGCUUAUCGGCGCGCUUCACAC
rnacentral:RNase_P_RNA from 1 species